AGCUCAGAGGUUGUUCGGCCUCAGGGCAGGUCAACAGCUAGAGAAGAAGGGAGCUGGCGGGGCGAGCGGCUGCCUCUUUGACCUCAUUGUCCUGCCUCUUGAAGGAUCGUCAAAACAGUGUUGGAAAGCACCAGUGAACCAUCUUGUAAGUAAUUUGUGCCAUCUUGGUUCCUUUUCCCUUCUCUCUGUUUGUGGCUCAGUUCUUUCCUCUUCCCCACGUACGCCCCUCUCUUUCUAGUGAUCUCAGGGUGGGCACCUGGGGAUCCCAGGCCAAAUCAGGCCUUCCAAGGAAUGCUGCCUAGUCCCCUUCCAAAGUGCCAAUCUAGAGGGGAAGAAAGGAAUGGGAGGGAGGCAGUCAUGGCAGGUGGCCCUGCUUUCAAUGUUGGGAAACAAGCCAGCCAGACCACGGCCUGUCUCUGGAGAGGAAAUUUGCUCUGCAGAAAUCAGUCCGCUAAUCGAUCCAAAGGAGUUAGCUGUGCUAGUCUGUAGUAGCAAAAUAGUAACGAGUCCAGCAGCACCUUUAAGACUAACCAACUAAUGCGUGCAUCUAACGAAGAGAGCUGUGGUUCUCGAAAGAUUAUGCUACAGUAAAGUUGGCUAGUCUUAAAGGUGCUACUGGACUCUUUACCAGCCAGCAAAUGUAAUCGACUGACCUGGAUGGGUCAGUACAGUCAGAUACUGUCAGCUCUCAGAAGGUAAGCUGAGACUGUGCUGGUUAAUACUUGGGUGGACAACCAGAGAAGAUGAGGGUUGUUACAUAGAGGCGGGUGAUGGCAAACCGUCUCUUGUUCAUCUGUUGCCUUGAAAAUCCCAUGAGAGGCUGCCAUAAAUUGGCUGUGACUUGAUGGCACUGUGAACACAUCAAAGGCACAACUACUCAAAGGACAACUACAAGGUCCAUUUCAAAGUUGGUCACCUCAAUUGACCUGCCAUUCCUCUGCCUCAGAAACAGGCUUUCCCAAAGAAAUUAGUUCCUGACCAGGGACCUAAAUAGAUGCUUGUAGAAAUGACCAACCUGUUCACAAUUGUGUGUCUUUCCCUCUUUAUGUCUACUCUGGCAUCAGAGCCCCUGAGGAUGGGCGGUUUAUAAAUCGAAGUAGUAGUAGUAGUAGUAGUAGUAGUAGUAGUAGUAGUAAUAACAAUAAUCUUCCUGUUCUGCUUCCACUGUACAUUCCCUGAGCCAAACCCAUCUCUGGCCCUUAUCCCUGCUGAGUGGUAUUUCUGCUUGGCCCAAAUGGUGCAAAUGCGCCCCCCCCACCUCACCCCCCAAACCCACCUCCAGUUUAGACCACGACAAAACUUCUGCAUGGAAGUGACAAGCAAAUUUUCUAUCUGGCUUGCUGGAUACUUUGUACAGUUUCAGCCAUCUCUGCAUGAUUUCUGUGAGGUGAAGAAAUUAUUAGUGAGAUAAAAAAAAAAGUCCUCCUCCUCCGGUGUGCCUUAUGUUAGCCAGGCUGUUUCUAAUGGGAGGGCAAGGAUAACAGAGAUGGAGUUGCCUAGAGUAGGCGAGGGCUGGAGUUCUCCCAGAAUUAAAGGUGGUCCCUAGAUCAUAGAGGACAGUUCCCCUGGAGAAAAUGGCUGCUCUGGAGGGGGGACUCUACCACUUUCUAUCCUGCGGAGACCCCCUCCCUUUCCCAGGUUCUGCCCACAAAUCUCCAGGAACUUCCAAAGUUGGCAACUCUACUCUGUGAAGGUCUGCUGUAGCUUUGUAGAGUUCUUCCUGCAGUAGUAAUCUGCUGGCAUGGCACAGGAUAAGUACUGGCUUAUGGUCUAGGUAAUUAUGGGAUGGCCGUUCAUUCCCUCUCUCUCUCACACACACACGCACACGAGAGGGGAGUUCACUUGAUACUCCUGAUCAGGUAUUUCACUGUAUGUGGACCAGUUGUCGUGCUGACUGUUUUUUCACAGUGACAAUGGGAAGAGUUUUGCUAUGGACACAGGACUGAAUUGCAUGUGACAACGUAGGUUUUCUUCAUUUUUAAAGCCUUUAGCAACCACAGAGGCCACCUGCAACAGAUAGGAAUGUCUGAACCUGCUUUGCUUCCCUGGUUUUUCUGUUAAAUCCCCCCCCCUUCCCAUAAUCCUUUUCCCCUAUUGGGAAAAAAUAUUAUCACCUGUAUGGAGAAAGGCUCAUUGAGGAGCCAUGUUUAGCAACAAGAAGCCUGGAAGGGGGAAAAAAAGAUUCUCUGUGUCUGGUUGAGGUUUUAAAACAUGUUGGGUGAAAAUGAAUGCCGCUGAGCAUUGGUUGCCAGGUAGUCUGCAGACACCACAGCUUCUGUUACUGACCCCAAAAGAAGACUGUACUUCAGUGAUGGGGAUCUAUUUUUUAAUUUGCCUUUUUUAAUUUGCAGAGCCCCCCGAAAGGGGAAAGCUUCCCCUUUGUGGGUUCAAUGUUUGGUCUGUCUGGAGCUGCCGACAGCCUUCCUCUCUACUUCUAGGAAACCAGCACAGUCUUUAGCCAUCUCCCCUUAAGGGCUAAGAUCCAGCCCUGAGCUCUACUAUAAUCAUCCCAGCAGGGCCAGGGUGUGUCUUCUGUAAACUGGACAACUCUGAGUUUAUCAGUUCCCGACAUAAGCUCACACCCGCCCUGCACCAUCUCUCCAUGACAAAUAUCGCUCCACUCCAACUUUUCAUUCCUCUUAAUGCACAUUUUCAAAUUCCCGAUUAACCCAAAGAGCUGACGUUCCUUCUGCUUUUGCGCUCAGGGCUGCUUACGAAAGCUCACAAUGACAAGGAUUGCCAGCUCCGGUUUGGGAAGUUCCUGAAGAUUUUGGAGGGGGAGCCUGGGAAAAGUGGGAGAGAAGGAACGUCGGCAGGGAUGUGUCGCCUUAGAGGCAGCUCUCCAAAGCAGCCAUUCCCUCCAGGGGAACGUGUCUCUGUAGCCUGGAGACCAGUUGUAAUUCUAGGAGAUCUUCAGCCACCACCACCUGGAGGUUGGCAACCCUAAAGCUAUUAAAUAAAUACAUAUUUUAGAAUAAGCUGUAUUCCAGGUGGGAUUUUAGAGCAGAAAGGAGGUAAAGUGUGGCCCACAGAUUAGGGCUUCCAACUCCGGUUUAGGAAAUUCCUGGAGAGUUGUGGGUGGUGGACUCUGGGAAGGAGUGGGAGCUCAGCAGGAACGUGAUGGAAUAGAAUUCACCCUUUGAAGUUGUCAUUUUCUCCAGGGGAAUGCAUCUCUGUAGUCUGGAGAUCAGAUGUAAUCCCACGCGAACUCCAGGCCUUACUACCUAGAGGUGGGCAACCCUACCACAGAUGACAGGAGGUCAGUGCCAUCUACAGCCCACUUCAGACUAGCACCUGAGCACUCUUUUUCUGUCUCUACCGACAGACAGAGAGGAAGAGAUCCUUUCCCCCAGUGUCGCAGGACCUCCCUGCCUUGUGUCUCCUCCUAAUACUGAUUGUAUUAACCUCAUACUGUGUAAUCCGCCUUGAGCCUCAGAGAGAAAGGCGGACUAUAAAAUGACAUAAAUAAAAAAAUAAAACUGUUCCCACUUGCACACAAACAAGAAUUAUGACUUUAUUUAUUUAUUUACUUAGUUACUUCAUUUAACCCCUGAUAUUUGUCCCCAUGGGGACCCAAAGGGACACAAAGCAUUCUCCUCCCCCCAUUUUAUUCUCACAACAAUUCUGUGAGUGGGUCGUUGGUCCAAGGUCAGUCCAGGAAGCUUCUACGGUACGGUGGUAUUCGAACCUGGGUCUCCCAGCUCCUAGUCAAACCACUACACCACUUUGCCUCUUAAAGCAAUCCUUGAACCAUGGGGCAGUGAAAACAAAAACAGGAGAACGGAAUGACAAGAUGAUUUAAGGUCAAGAUGGAGAAAUAAAAAAAGGCUGGUUCUGGAAAAUCAAGACCCCCCCCCCCCUCAUAGAUCUGCAGUUCUAACUACCUGAUGUUUUUAUUAAUUUUGUUGACUUUGUAUUUUUAGGAGCAAUCCAAAGGCAGCAUCUCAAAGUUGUUUUUAAAGAAACAAAUAGCGCAAAAGUCACCUGGCCAGCAUUUCAUGCUCCAGGGCAGCUGCCAGAGGAGGAGGUGCCAAGGUUCCCAGGCAGCUAUCUAACAGAAGAGGAUUGUUUUGGCUACCGAUGUUCCACCGAGAAUCAGCCUUGGGAAACUACUGCUCUCCCUACUUCAAAGGCGUUGUUUUGGGAACCGUGGGGGGGAGGAGGGGCCCGCUGGGAUCUGUUACUCUGUACCUUAUGCCUUGCCUAUCAUUGGUAACAAUGCAUAUGCACCAUCCUGAAUAUUGCAUUCAGGCUAGUGGACUAUAAUGAACUAUUUCUUCAAUAAAUUCCUUUUGGAAACAA